UCCUGAAGCUGGCUUCCUGAGGUCCUGGUCUUAAAGGGAAAUGAGCAUUGUUUCCUUAAGUGUCAUGGACCCAUUUCCCAUCAAAUAGUAUUUUCAGUGGAUUUGUCUCCAUGGCCGUUUCCCUAGAGUCAAACUUGGUCUCAAGGCAGAUGCCCUCUGAGUCAGUGUGAUAAUGUAUGUCUUGGGUUCCCAGAGACAGAAAAAUUCAAGAACUUUUGACUCCCAGAGCAGUAUACUCAGAGAAAACCUCAAAAUGCCCCAUUAGGGCACCACGAGUACCCACCAGGAAGGAUAGAGAACUUUCCCAGCAUCAGUUUGCUGAGCAGACCCCAGAUCCACUUCCGUUCAGAUUGCCCAUUUGCAGGUCCUGGUUCUUGUGCUAGCUGUGCUUUCCCUCUUUCUCCUCUUCCCAACCCUUCCCACAUUGCUGCAUGAUCAGUCCCAUGAUUCAGAGUUUGUGGGUUUCUCCCACUUUGUCCGCCAUUGAACUUCAGCACGUUCCCACAGUCACCAACCUUCAUGAGGAGCACGUCUCCAGUUGCUUGAUUCUGUGGAGAAGUGGGAAAGUGCAGGUGCCUCUAAUCUGCAAUCUUGAAUCUUCUAUUUAACAGCCUUCUUCUUUUAAAUUUAAAUAUUAGUACAGGGAAUCCACGAUAUCAUUUGUCAACCAACAUCUUAUUAUGUGAAGCUUUAAAUGAGUGUGAUCUUUCAUAUUUUUAUUAGUGCAUCAUAGUUAUACAUAAUAUUGGGGUUCAUUUUGACAUAAUCAUAUACACAUGGAAAAUAAUUUGUUCUAUUUCAUUCUCC
rnacentral:lncRNA from 1 species